rnacentral:tRNA from 1 species
CUUGUCAUAGCCAAAAGGAUAAGGCACUCGUCUUCUAAGCGAGCGAUUCUAGGUUCGAGUCCUAGUGGCAAGG